GGUCAAUGGUCAAAGACUUCAUGGACAUCAAUGAUAAGUGCUGUCUCUCGAGGGUUUGUAUUGGGACCGGUGCUAUUUAAUAUCUUCAUAAGUUACAUAGAUGAAGGAAUCCCUCAGCAAACUUGCAAAUGACAUAUCUGAAGGAUGGGAUGCCAUCCAGAGGGACCUGGACAAGCUCAAGAACAGGGCCCACAGGAACCUCAUGGGGUUUAAAAAGACCAAGUGCAAGGUGCUGCUUCUGGGUUGGGGCAACGCCUGGUAUCAAUAGAGGCUGGGGAUGCACAGAUCAAGAGCAAUCCUGUUGAGAAGGACUUGGGGUGCUGGUGGAUGAGAGGCUGGACAUGAUCCGGCAAUGUGCACUCACAACCCUGAAAGCCAAAUGUGUCCUGGGCUGCAUCAAAAGAAUCAUGGCCAGCAGGUCAAGAGAGGUGAUUCUGCCCCUGUACUAAUGAGAUCUCACUUGAAGCACUGCAUCCACCUCUGGGGUCUGCAGCACAGGAAGGUCAUUGACCACAGGAAGGAUGACCCUGCCUGAGCAGGGAGAUUGGACCGUAUGACCCACUGUGGUCCCUUCCAUCCUGACCUAUUCUGUGAUUCAGUGACCUAUUGGAGUGAGUCCAGAGGAGAGCCACCAAGAAUGAUUAGAUUUCAAACUAAAAGAGGGCAGGUUAAGAUUAGAUAUGAGGAGGAAGUUCUUUCCUGUGAAGGUGGUGAGGCACUGGAACAGGUGGCCCAGAGAAGUUGUGGAGGCCCCAUCCUUGGAAGUGCUUGUGGCCAGGUUGGACAGGGCUCUGAGCAACCUGGUCUAGUGGAAGAUCUCCCUGCCCAUGGCAGUGGGGUUGGAACUAGAUGAUCUUUAAGGUCCCUUCCAACCCAAGACAUUCUCUGAUUCUAUGAUUUACUUCCUAGCAAACUGUCAUUCAGACUGCUGUCCUAAAUACGAGAGAAUAUAUACAAAAAUCAGUAUUUCCCACAAUCCAGUGGCACUAAGCAUUACUAUCACUCUCCUCCUUAAGGCCAGAAGCUUGAGUUUCAGCCUGACAUUAAAAAUCAAUUAAUAUUGUGCUCUAGAGAAUCACAGCCAGUAUCUUCCAUUUACCUAAGCAGUGUUAGCUGCUGUCAGUAAAUAAAAGCUCCCAGAAUGACACAUCUCUUUGAAUCAAAAAGAUCCCUCAUCACACUAAAAGGAGUGUGAUUUUUCCACCUGGCAUUCCUGCUAAACCUUCACAAUCUCUGGACAGACAUUACAGCCUCUGAAGCAAAGCACUUUAAAACACAACAGUUUCAAAUCCUGCCUCCUCUGAUAUCCGUGGCAAAAAACACCACUAGAGGUAAGAUUUCACCAUGUUUAUCCAGGCUCUAUUCCUUGAUGUUUAUGAGACCCCAUUAUGCAAAUGAAAUACUAUAAAAGUUCCUUUGACAGCAAUUUCCCAUCCACUGGCAUAAAAGCAGAUCCUGUCUUGUUUUGGCACAAAUAUGAGAAGCUGGCACAAGUCAGAGUUGUAUCUACCAGUCCCAAGGCUAGAGAGGCACGAACGUGUACAACACCACCAUUUUAUCACCUCUCCUUGUCCUGGCUUUUAUAACAUAGAUCUCAGCUGACCAUAAAAAUCUGCACAAUUUCUUCCAAAAAUCACUUAAGCAUUGAGUAAUUACUUCUCCAAUAUACUAUGGUUUGGAUAGAGAAUUCACGUGAGUGUGAGGUGUUGUAAGGUUUUAUUAGGGCUCAUUUAGGAUGACCUUACGUUACUGACAAGCAAUAAAACCACAAGUGAAUCGGAUGGGUUAAACCACAAUACAUGGCCAUCCUAAAUGCACACUGAGAAAGUCUUCAUGCUGCACUGCACCAGGAAGGCCACAGAGUCAUCAUGAGGCACAUAUUAGGUAGCUGACAAGAAUCACUUGCCUCUGGAAUGUGGCUCUGGCUCAUUAUACCUAUUGAUUUCCAUGCUCUGCAAGGGCUGGCAUGUUUCUGAAGCAGACUGGCAUACCACAGAAGAAUAAUGACACUUGCUUUUGUUUCUAUGAAAUGGAGAUGAUUUGAUUUGUGACUAUUUAGGUCUAAACAUAUGACAGGCAGGCUUAAUGAAUUUUUGAGCAUGGGAAAAAUGGAAACAGAAUACACAUUUCUGUACCCUAGUGGUGCACUCGUGUAUCAGCCAAAAGCCUCAAUAAAGACACAAGUCAUAGAACAAAAAUUUUAAUAAAAGUUUAUUCUAGAUGAUGGAAUUUACCUGGAUAUAGUUGACAUAUCUAAUAUGUGAAGUUACAUGGCUUGCAAUAUGGCUGGCUCUAUAUUCAAAAUAACAAAUUUUUGAAUUUAUAUCUCUAUACAGUUAUAGAGGGGAAGACUGCUUUAAGAAACCUUUUGCCUUCUGCAAUCCUUCUAAAUUCCAUAUACAGCUCUUCUGCUGGCAUCCUGGGUGUGAUGGUGACCUGUGUGAGAUGCUGCUUUUGAAAACAGGUUUCUUUUUCAUGGCAUGCUUUGGGCAUCAGUUACAUUUCAGGUCCUGGCUACUUGGAGAGUGAGUUACCACAUGGUGUUUGGUUGAUGGCUGGGAUUAAACCACAACAUCCACUUACAGACCACCCCUCCCCUAAUAUAAUCCAAUGCAACUGGGGACAAUCCAGAGAUUUGCUUCAGAAGCACAUCCCUGACUUGAAAUGCUAGUGCAAAGGCAGUCCAAUGUGCCAUCAGCAUCAGGACCAUCAUAAGACAAGACCAUAAGAAAAUAAGUGCUCUCGCUUCAGACACAAAAAGAAUUUGGCAAUUUACAGAUGAAUUCCCUUCAAUCUUGGUAUAACUUUCCAAGUGGUUUCUGAGAAGUCAGUCUGUACAUUAACUGAGUGACCUGGAGGAGAGGUUGGAGUUCACCUUCAUUGAACUUUCAGGUGACACCUAGUUGGUGCACGCAGCCAGUCUGCUUGAAGCCAUGGCUGCCAUCCAGAAGCGCCUAGGCAGGCUGGAGGGAUGGAAUGGCAGGAACUGCAAGAAGAAAAGCAAAGACAAAUGCAAAGUUGUGCACUUUGAAUGUCUGAAAUCCUUGCACUGGUACAGGCUGUGGAGCAGCUCCAUUGAGAAGACACUGGUGGACCAUAACCUGAAGAUAAACACGCCCUGGCAGUAAUGAAGGGUAGUCACCUUUGGGGCUGUAUCAUCAAGAAAAUACAUGGUGGCAAGGAAGAUGUCUAUUGCCUUUACUUAGCAGUUGUUGAUUGUAUCUAGGAUACUGUGUCCAGUUUAAGGUCUCUUGACCAGUAAGAGAAGACACUGAGAAACUGGAGCAAGUUCAGUGGAGGGUUGCCAAGACAGCUGGGACAGGUGUGCAGGAGUCCUGUGAGAAGGGGCUGAGGUUUGUUCAUCUGGGAGAAGGGAUGGCUCUUCAGGGGGACCUAACAGGAACCGCCAGUGACCAUGGUAAAUUUAGCAUGAAGACACAGCCACAACAGCCAAUGGCGAGAGACAACAGACAAACUAAAGCAGAGGAGGUCCCACUGGAAAUAGGAAAGUACUUGUUUACUGUUAUGGCAGUCCAGCAGUGGAACAGGCUGCCCAAGGAACCUGUGCAGUUUUCAGCCUUGGAGGCUUUCAAGACCCAACCAGAUCAAGCCCUGAGCAGCAUGGGCUGACCUCAGGACUGACUCUGCUUUGAGCAGCACAUUGGACUAGAAACCUCCUGAGGCCUUUUCCAACCUGAAUUAACCUAUGAUUCAUUAUAUGUUUUAAGACCUUUCCUGGAGCUUUCUAAUCACUACCUUCUUUAACUCUCUUUUCUUUAGCAUGAAAAUCUUUUAAACUAUUUCUAAAAGUACCUCCCUCAAAAUAACUGUUCUAUUCUAGGUAAGUACUGUCAUUAUAUUUAUAUAUUUAAAUUCUGAAUACUGCAGCUUAUUUUAAAGGCCUCUUCAUAAAAUAAUGAAAGCAAGAGCAAGCUUUUUAAAAUUUAAUCUAGAUGAGCUAUGUAGGAAUGAAUUAAUGCCUAAGGAUAUGCUGUCAUAUUUAAAUGUAGAAAAGUAUAAUUACAAGAGCUACAAGUAUGAAACUGAGCUUCUUAGAGGAAUUAAGACUUGUUUAAGAAAAAUAAAAGGAAUUGUAAAUGUCUGUGUGACUUAAGUUUCCUUCUUUUGUUACUAUGGUUACAAUAAAGAAUUACCAAAGGAGAGAACUGGACUGGUACUGUAUUAAAGAUUAAGAGUGCUAAUUAGUAUUCUUCUUCUAUUUCUUUGAUAGCCACAUAAUCCAGAGCCAUUUAUUCUAAAUCACUUAACUUUGAAUACAUUUUAGCAUUGUUUUGCAAGUAAAUGCCAACUCUAUUUAUUACAGUUUUGUCUGUAUUUAAUAAAAAGACCCAUUUCAAUUAC